GCCGGGCGCGGUGGCGCGCGCCUGUAGUCCCAGCUACCCGGGAGGCUGAGGCUGGAGGAUCGCUUGAGUCCAGGAGUUCUGGGCUGUAGUGCGCUGUGCCGAUCGGGUGUCCGCACUAAGUUCGGCAUCAAUAUGGUGACCUCCCGGGAGCGGGGGACCACCAGGUUGCCUAAGGAGGGGUGAACCGGCCCAGGUCGGAAACGGAGCAGGUCAAAACUCCCGUGCUGAUCAGUAGUGGGAUCGCGCCUGUGAAUAGCCACUGCACUCCAGCCUGGACAAUAUAGCGAGACCCUGUCUCUU
rnacentral:SRP_RNA from 1 species